AGGAUACAGAAUUAAAACGUCGCGAAGAUCUUCGUAAAAGGCUGGCUGACGAAGCCGAGAAAAAGAAAUCUAAGAAAAGAAGGAAACUCAAAAUUUGAGGUUUGAUACUGUAGUUAGGUAGGCCAUUUGGAAAAUUUAUUAUAUUCCGUCUUUGUAAUGUUAAAGACCAAAAAUCGAACCAGUUCCAGCUUUUCAUUUGAUAGCGAGCAUCAAAAACGUCCACAAAACGGAAAAUCCUAAAUUUGAUUGAAGGGUUUGCGGUUAGGUAUACGUUUGACAAUUUAUUAUAUUCUAUGUUUGUAAAGUCUAAGUAGGGUUAGUUUAUAUUCUGUAUCUGUAUACCAUAUAACCUUCAAUCCCUGUGCAGAUGAACAAGGUUAUAAAUUUCUCUAACGGUAAAACUUAACUUGCCCAUGUGCAUGUAUGGUGAACAAUUUUUCCUAGACAAGUUUUAUUUGCUAAUUUUGAUUUGCUUGCAUACAUGCAUGUAUGUAUGUAUGACAAAAACUGAUAAGUACUGAGUAUAGUGGGACAAAGUCUAUUAAAGCACAGUAUGCGAUGAAUAUUUGGAAUAAUUGUCCACUUUCUCGAAUGCAUGACUAUAAUUCAAACACAUGGCGACUUUUGAGGAAAAGAAAAUCGAGGGAGCAAAAAACUAGUACAGUGUUUAUUGUUCAUCGUAUAUACAGGGCAUGCAUGCAGGCUAAUAUUGACAAUCUCGUAUCCGGGUUCUUUCCUCUUGUAAAUAAUAUUGAAUUAUAUAUAUAAUUAUAUAGUGAAUAAAAUCUUGC